GCCCGGUUAGCUCAGUCGGUAGAGCAUCAGAUGUCUUACACCUGAGGGUCCAGGGUUCAAGUCCCUGACUGGGCG
rnacentral:tRNA from 1 species